rnacentral:tRNA from 8 species
GGGCCUCUAGCUCAGUUGGUAGAGCAAAGGACUUUUAAUCCUUGGGUCGUCGGUUCGAGCCCGACGGGGCCCACCC